CCUCCUCUGGGCACGGCGCGGGAGCUGCCCGGGGCCGUGGCACCGUGUCCUAGAGCGGGCGGUUCCCGGCCGGAGAGGCGAGGAGCGGGGAUGGAGGGUCCCGCGCUGCGGGCGGCGGUACCAGACCCGAGAGAUUCCUCGCUCGGUGCCUGUGGGAAAAGGCUGGGAGCCGCAGCGUUUGGUUAAAAGUAGCCGUGUAGGCCUGUGGUUUGUACCUGGAAAAACUGCUGGGCUGAAGCGGGAGCUCAGCUCCUGUGCCCAAGGGCGGGACAGCCCGGGCAGUGUAGGCGUUCCUUCAUGAGGCAAACGCUGCUUUCCCUGCGACCCUGCCUCUUCCUGCCCUGUCAGUCACCGCAGGACUGGCGCGGCUGAAUCGAAACUGGGAAGCUUUGUAAAACGUGUUGAAGGCGAGACACGGUUGUUCUGUGUUGAAGUAGGACGUAUAGGUCUGAGAGAUGUUUCUCCCCUCAGGCAACAGCAGAAUAUUGUGAUCCCUUUUCCUAAUAUCUUCCAUAUCUUCUGUGGUUUUUUUCCUGUCCACCUCCCAAAACACACAGGGCUGCAACACGUGAUAUUUGAAAGAUGAUAUGUGUGUAUUUCUACCAGGUAAUAAAUGAGAUUAUUUUAGGUUACAAGACCAAUAAAGUGCAAACAUAUAUAUUUUAAGGGCUCAAUAGAGGGAGAACGUAGGCUGGAAAUACAUUGUGAUAAGCUAAGAUAGGUGGGUGGUCUCUCCCACUUCCUUUUUAAGAUUCCCUCUAGAAGUGAACUGGACUAGGAUUUUGUAAUAAAAGGAUCAGUUUCUUUAAUUUUAGUAGUUAUAUCGAAAAUUCUUGCUUAUACCUAACUUGAAUUUCUUAUACAUUAAUCCCAGAGAUGGGGUGAAUAUUCCUCUCUUUGUACAUUAGGUUCUUUUCUCUAGUUUUGAGGAACAGUCUGUGCUGAAGUGAUUGUAGGGUAUCCUUUCUUGGAAAUAAAGCCUGGUUUAAGAUUUUGAGAUUGAGGAUGGCAUGUGGAUCUGUCCAGAUGCAAAUGCAAAUUUAUAUCUCUCUCAUUUUGUUAUGCUUUCUUUUAGGAAAUGCUACACUUUUUUAAGUACUAUAACUUUUGUAGCAGUGUUGCUGUACAGUUUUGUCAGGUGUAAUCACUUUGGAAAUGCUUUCAAAAGUAAUAUGGAAUGUCGUGGACAAAUCUCAUAUGCUUUUAGAAAUAACGCUGGAACUAGACUGCAAGGAAAAGUAAUUUUGUUUAAGUGUUUGUGAUUGACACUGAGAUAAUAUUCAAAGAGGAACUGCAACAUAUGUAACACGUGCUUUGAUGUUUGAAGUGUCCUCUCUCAAAGCAGCAGCAUAACUGGUGGCUAUUAGUGAUUAUUAAAGUCAUGGAUAUGUUACUAAUCAGGCAACUGAGUUGCCAGGCCAAAUUCUAAAUCUGUAAUUAUAGUUGGCCUCCUUAAAACCAGGAGGCAUGUUUGUACUAUUUCUGUCCAAAAUCACUGUAUCUGAUAAAACCAAUUAAUAUGGUUUUUUUUUCUUAAUUUUCUUUUUCUGUGGCCAGGACAGAAAAAAGCUGAAUGCUUAAUUUUUGACACUUUAUUAUGGAAAUGAAACAAUUCUUCCAUUUUCUUUUGAAAAUUUCACCUUCUAAGUUUUCAAGAAAGUUUUAGAUUUGAAGUUGCUUUAUUUUGUCUCUUCAAGUCAUGUCAUGUUGCCAGUAAAAACUGGCUUUGUGUGCAUGUCUACUGUAUUAGUUUGCUUACAGCUCAAGUAUUUCUGUGGUUUUGCUGCAGCCAAUAAUGGAUUACUACUGACAAAAGUUGUUUAUUUGAGUGACAAGCAUGUGUUGUUUUGUCUCUGUUUUUAAAUGAGUAGAUUUUUCUCAUAUUGAAGAUAACAGGUAGCUAUUCAUAGUAAAGUUUCUUUAGCAAAUAGUGAAAAACAGUAACGUUUGUCUGUGCCUGUUACUGUACUGGAGUUUUUGAAGCCUGAUUUUGAUAGAUCAACAAACAUUGUGAAGUCGUGCUGAUAAAAUACUUGUUUAGCUUGAUGUCUCUUGAAACUGGCCCAGAAAAAGCCUUUGUCAUUUUUGAUUUGUGAAAGCAAGGACAACCACAUUCUAGAAAGAUGUAUAAUAGUAGCAUCUCCUUGCUACCAUCAUGAACCAAAUUUAGAUGAUGCUCUGGAGGUAAAUGUUUCCAUUUCCCUUCAAUCUCAGUUGCUGUAGCCGUACUGGUGCAGGGACAUAUAAUAGUAACCACAAUAAUGAACCUAGACCUGAGUGAAGCUGAUGACUGCAGAUAGAGCUAAUUCAACAAUUACAAAAAAGUUUUGAGGAUUUUGUAAGAGCAAUGCAAAAAGAGCUGAGGAUAGAAAGGAGCUGGAUAGCAGUGGGUGUGUAUUUGUCAUUGGUUGCCAGUUGUGCCAUCAGCUGAGUGGUGUGGACAUCAACAUAACAGAGUAGUAUUCUCUGUCACUGACAACACUGAAACUGCAACCAUAUUGCAAGUUUACAACUGUAGUUCACUUCAAUGGUCAUGAUAAGGAAACAUUUUUUCCACAUGGAAGAAAAAUGUGUUCCUGUUUAUUCAUAAACAGUGAAGUCUGGAAAUAAUAUUUUAUCAUAAAUUUUAGUGAUAAAAAAAAAUAAAUAUUAAAAGCAAGACUGACUUGUUGGGAACUAGAUUUCCGUUAAUCCUUUUUGUUUCUUUAGAACAAAGCCAUAAGGAGACUUAUUUAUGAUGGAAGAAAGAGUUUAGGCGGCACUUUUGAUUAUGGUCAAAUUAACAGAUAUUCAUGGGAUGUCUGUUGAUUGUACCAUGUUGCUUCUGCCCUCUGAUGCAAGUCUCUAGUAGCAUCACUGUUAAUUUCGCAAUGCUGUCCUAGAUGGUUUUGGAUUGACUAAGGAUUUAUAUAAUCUGAAGAGUAUAACAAUGGUUUUGGGGAUAGGACUGUCAAAAGGACUUCAUGUCUCUCCUUUUCCUAUUGUUUCAGCAUUACUUGACUCUGUGACCAACAUGCAAUUUUCUGCACCAGAAAACAAGAAAGAAACAGCAGUUGUUAACAAAUAAGCCAUGCCUGCUGCAGCUGAUGUAACUGUGGGGGACCUGCCUGUGAGACAUACAGGUCUAACUCCAGCUGGAAUUGAAGGAUUACAAGGAAAGAUUAAACAAUCCAGAAAAAGAGAAUGAACUCCUGAAGAAAAACUAUCAUAAGCUGCGUAAGUGUCUUCUGUAUGACCCAUGGGCAGCAAUGGAAAUCAAAGGAACAGCAAAUGAAACUGCAAAUUGCUAAACUAGAGAUGGCUAUCAAAUCUGAUUUAGCAGACAAAAAUGCAAUCCUUGACAAGAUCAAAGUAGAAAGAGGAGGUUAAACAAGAAAGGCUAGCAGAUAAGGUGGAGAUGGCUGAAGGAAUUUAACAGGAGACAGAAAAGCUCUCACAUCUGUGAGAGGAGCAGUUAGCUGACCAAACAUCAAUUACUUCUGGAAAUGAGAAGAGAAAUAACUGAAGAAUUGGAACCAGAAGGAAGUUGAAAAAUCUGGAUUAAAAUUACAUCACUUGGUUUUAUAAAGUCAUGAAUUACAUCAGAUGAAAUAAUACAGCAGCUGAGUGUAGAAUGCAGAUGAAACAAUUUCCCUGCAGAGGACACUCCACUAUCAUUUCCAAACCCAACAGGUAGUCAGAGGAGUGACUGUAACUACAGCACUGGUGAGUGGGACCUAUGCCUGAGCAGAUAAAUUAGCAAAGGAAAAUAUCUAGCCAGUGUGUUGAUAAUUCUCCUAUAAAUACUUGGAUAUUUUUAAUAAUGAUUUUACCAGCCUAAGGUGAAAGUAAGUGCUCAGUGACACCCCAGAAGAUGAGCAGGAACUUGAAUGUAAAGAUACUGAUUUUGUUGAAUCUGUUUGAAAAAGAUAUUCCAGAAGCAAAGAAAUACCCUUGAACAAGACAUUGAUGGCCAUUGGAGAGCGUGUUUGUAGUGCUCUUAAGAAGACUCAAGAAGGUUACUCAGUCUUCUCACAGACAGUGAAGGAAAGUAUUCUCCUUGCUUAGAGUUUCCUGUUGCCUGUGGUAGCAGGGUCAUGGUUAUCAAUGGUGCAUUUUUCUCCCUCUUCAUUUCAAUCCUCUUUCCUGUUGUGGUGAAGCUCAGAGAAGAAGCUGAAAGUAUACUUUUGAUAAAGCAGUCCCUCUGUGGGUGCAUGAACCAGCCCCAAGCCUGGACACAGAGCACACAAGUAAAAACAAUACUGUCCUCUGAAGUCUGCUCUGAAGUUGACAUCUCACUGAAUGACUUGUUCAGAAUAUACAAAAUGCUUUGGAUCUCUAAGAAUAGCAUCCAGUCUGUUCUAUAGUAGGUCUUUCAGCAGGAGUUAAUUCCAGCACUGAUACUUUCAUUGAUGUACAUUGUAGUUCUUCGAGUGCUCAGUUUCCAGUAGGCUGAGUACCUGAAAAUUUUUGAUUCACAAGAUGAUAGUGCAGUAAUUGGAAAGCUCAAAGGAGCAGUGGAAGCCCUCCAUGCGCUGCCCUCAGUUGAGAGGGGAAUGCAAAGAUGACUACGAGGCAUGAAAGGAAGUUUGCCUACAGAAGAUCCUUCUCCCAGUGUAAAUACAUGCUUGAUAGUGCAUCAAAGAUGAGAUCUUUGUAAUUCCUACAGUAUAUUUAAUGUAUAAUUUAUAUGAAAAGGACGCUUGAUUUGUAGUUGUAAAGUUUUGUAUACUUUUCAGUCUGUUUGUUUUUAUAUUCCCCCCCUAAGGCUAAGAAUAUCUCCACAAUGGACAACGUCUUGUAAAUAAUUAAUACCUACAUGAUUGAACGAUGUGCUUUAUUUGCAUUUUUAAGAUUUUUUCCUACAUAAAACAGUAAUAAAAAUGCAAGUCAAAAUUUUAAUUUUUAAUAAAAAAACCAUAAGCCUUAGAAAACUGAUUAAAAAUACUUUUAUGUUAUCCCUAAUCACCCCACUAAAUGGAAUGCCUGUGAUUAGCCUCAUUAAGAAUUUUAUACUGUGAAGAUUUUAUUAAAAGCAAUAUAUGAAAAUUACUUGGAUUAAUGUGUUAAUCUGCCUCUUUAAAAUGCUAAUAUCCAUUUUAUGCACAUUAAAUCUCAGUAUGUGUUUUCUUUGAUGCAUGCAGUUCCUAUCAAUUAAAUAUAAAAAAUUAGGCUAGUUGCAGGACUUAUUAAAUUACUGCAACCUUUUUUUAAAUAACUUUUACCCUUCUACUAACAUUAUAAUCAGCUGUUUAUGGUUACCAUAAUUUGAAGUAGGGGGAGGGCAGGCACGAUCAUUUUCUGUACAGUGCUUGAUUUACUUGCAGCCAGCAUCUGUCAAAGCACAAAAAGAAGCCAUAGAGUAUCAGAUUUUGCUUCACCUACUUUGGGCUUUAGGGAUGGGCAACUGUUUUCAUUUGGGUUUUGUCACGUUUAGAACUUACAUCAAACACAUACAAUAAAUUGUUGUAUCUGAAUAACUACUGUCUAGUGUGGAAAGUUAAUUUUACAGCUUUUAACCAAUCUCAGUGAAGGAUUUAAUUGAUAUUUUUAAUGGAGCUGUGAAUCAAUGCUGCAAAAGGAUUGUCUCUUGAGAACGAGGAUAUAAUACAUUUCAUUUUUUAAUUUACUUUUUUAUUUGUCAUUUUCUUCAAAGGAUUUUAUAGACUGUGGAUUUCUACUGUUUGCAAACAGGCUAUGUUUCUUCAUAAGCAUAUGUAAAGUAUUCAGAGAGAUAAGUAAUUUAUUAAAAUCUACCUAAUUUGCCGUGAUAUAUUAAAUCUCUGCUUCAGUGAUCACAGACCAUUUCAUUUAGAGAAUUAGGCAUUCCCUCUUUGUGUGAUUAAAGCUCUGGAAAAUGAGUUCUUUGCUCCUAUUUGUGAACAUUCAAAGCCUGCUAAUGGCAAGAAGAUGGAAUAGAUUAUGAGACAAUUCAUUACAGUUCAACAGAAAAAAAACUCUGCUAUAAUGCAGAAAUGCAAGUAUGAAUAUCUGCAUAUAGUUUGAACCAUCUGUGCUCUAAUGGCUUCAGUAAUGGCUGUUCAUCUUCAGUAGGCUUUGAAAUGACAUCCAUACAAUAUUAAUUUGUUGAUGUACAUUAUGAGGCCAAUGGAAUGAAUAUAUUCUGACCACAGAAAUCUGAAUUCCAGCAUGGUCUGCUGGUUGACUCCAUUUUAGGACCUACCAUCUUCAGUAGUACUUCUCAUCCACACUUUGCCAAUCCUUACAGCGUUUCAUUCCUCUGGAACUUUAGGAGACCACAGACAGCUGCAUUCCUAAACCCCUCCAUUCUUCAGUUAAUGGCCAUAUGUUUGUUGUCAUUUGGGCUGGCACUUAGUUCAUCAUUUUGGCCACUAUUUCUAGCUUUUUUUGGCUCUGUGCAUCUAUAUUGUCAAUAAGACUGUUAUUAUACAUUACAAUAAUUUGAAACAGCCAGAUCCAACACUGAGAUUAACUGAGUGGCUUUUUAGAAAUUUAGUUGUGGUAUUCUGUCAGGAGGUUCUUAUUAUUCUUCUAAUACUUUGCAAACCAAACUAAAUAUCCUGCACAUAAACAAAGAAGCGAAUUAUAUUGAGUUUUUGUGUGUGACUGUUUACUGACUUGCAGGAGAACUAUGUUAACUGGUGCUUGUUUUCUUCUGAAAUAAACCAUGUGGUAAAAUUAGAAAAUCAGUGAUGUUCAUCUCAGUUAAACAUUUACAGUAACACCCUUAACACUUAAUCUUCACCAUCUGAAGUUAGAAAUUUAGAAACCAAGCGUUCAUAUAUUCAUUAAACACAGAUCUCUUCACUAAGUUACUGCAAAAUAUUCCAGUUAACAUUUGGUUACAUUGUGUUAACUGUUCUCAGUGACUCCACCAUUAACAUGUAUAAUUUGCCUCAGGUUCCCAGACAUAUUUCUUCAUAAGGCUCACUGUUACUCAGUUUUGUAUUUUAAAAAAAAAAUCCUGAUUUCUAUUCAUGUUUAUUGCUAAAACAGAUAUAAUAUUCAGCAAGGAUUUUCCCAACAGAUGGAUUGUAUUAUCUUAUGCAACAUAAACAUGCGAUCAUACCAGAAAAUUUUGUUCUUGCAUUAACUACUCUGUGUUUCCAAAAUGAUCUUAAAUCUUAAUUCUAAAUGCUACAUUGUGCAGGGAAAGUGGAAAAUGUAACCUAAUACUAUUUUGUCUGAAUUUUAGCAAUGAAUAGCUUGAAGAAAACUUGCAUCUAUGUAAUCUCUAGGCUAAGGUGCAAAGGAGCCAUAUUAAAGUUGGGUACUACCAUGUUUUAAAAUGUUACUCAAUUAACAUUCAAUUUUUGUGGAAUAGAUGAAUUUUUACUAUGGUGUAACUUGGUCACCACAGUGGUUCUGCAUAAGAUGAAAUGACAGUGUCAAAUAAUCAGUUUUGUUAUUAUAUCUUUUCCCAUUUGUUGUAAGAACUUACUAUAAUAUUUUCUGGUGUGAUACAAUAACUGCUGUUGUCCUGGUUCCCAGGAAUGUUGAUCAAGAUGGAAAUUUUUUUAGCUCAAAUAAACUUCAUCUGUUUUAAA